CGAGUUGUUGCUGGUCCUCAAACGGGGGCAUGUGCACGCUCUGUUCACACAUCCACUCACACCUGUGCACCCUCUGUAGUUCUAUGGCCUGGGGGACACUGUUCCCCUUGCUGUGGUUCUACGUCUUUACACACACACUGUAAUAAAGUUUCAUGGAAUGUAGUCGCGUUUAACGCAAUACAAUACAACUUUCAGCAACGGAUCUCUUGGCUCUCGCAUCGAUGAAGAACGCAGCGAAAUGCGAUAAGUAAUGUGAAUUGCAGAAUUCAGUGAAUCAUCGAAUCUUUGAACGCACCUUGCGCCCUUUGGCUAUUCCGAAGGGCAUGCCUGUUUGAGUAUCAUGAACACCUCAACUCUCAUGGCUUGCCAUGAUGAGCUUGGACUUUGGGGGUCUUGCUGGCCAGCGGUCGGCUCCUCUCAAAUGAAUCAGCUUGCCAGUGUUUGGCGGCACCACAGGUGUGAUAACUAUCUACGCUUGUGGUUUCCUGCCAGGCAUCCUUCAGCAAUGGAGGUUCACUGGAGCUCAUAAAUGUCUCUCCAUAGCGAGGACAACUUCUUGAAUGUUUGAUCUCAAAUCAGGUAGGACUACCCGCUGAACUUAAGCAUAUCAAUAAGCGGAGGAAAAGAAACUAACAAGGAUUCCCCUAGUAACUGCGAGUGAAGCGGGAAGAGCUCAAAUUUAAAAUCUGGCGUGCCUCUG
rnacentral:rRNA from 1 species